GACGAACGCUGGCGGCGUGCCUAAUACAUGCAAGUCGAACGAACCGCAACGAGAACUUGUUCUGGUUAAGGUUAGUGGCGCACGGGUGAGUAACACGUGGGGAACCUGCCCUUUAGUGGGGGAUAACAGUCGGAAACGACUGCUAAUACCGCAUAGACAAUUUAACCGCCUGGUUAAGUUGGGAAAGGUGCUACGGCAUCAUUAAAGGAUGGCCCCGCGGUGCAUUAGCUAGUUGGUAAGGUAACGGCUUACCAAGGCGAUGAUGCAUAGCCGACCUGAGAGGGUGAUCGGCCACAUUGGGACUGAGACACGGCCCAAACUCCUACGGGAGGCAGCAGUAGGGAAUCUUCCGCAAUGGACGCAAGUCUGACGGAGCAACGUCGCGUGUGUGAAGAAGGUUUUCGGAUCGUAAAGCACUGUUGUUAGAGAAGAACGGCUACUAGAGGAAAUGUUAGUAGAUUGACGGUAUCUAACCAGAAAGCCACGGCUAACUACGUGCCAGCCGCCGCCGUAACAC
rnacentral:rRNA from 1 species